GUGUUGAUUGAGAUGGUUCUUUUGGCCAAUUCUUUGCCCAUACCACAUUCGAACAACCCAACUUGCCAUAAACACUCAUUGUCUUGGAUUAACGGACCAGCCGCAUCAUAAGCUGAAAAAAAGUUUGCACAUAUACAAUGGGCUUGAUUCGAGUUAUACAACCAAGGAGAUUGACAAUAUUUUGGAUCGAAGUGAAAAAUAAUUCCUAUCACAUAUCGUGAUUAAGUUCAUCAUUGAUUCAUACAUGAUAGCCUAGACAAAAUCUAAAUCAGAUUUCACAAACAUUUUACACGGAUUUCGACAGAAUAUCUAACCUCUUUUUUUAUAGUCAAUAUCGAACAGUCUUUUACAUUUACAUACUGAUUACCAUUGAGAGUGUGUCAAAAAAAUUUUUUUCCAAAUUUUCCAAUAAAAUUUACCUGCCAUUUCUUUGACACGACCACCCAUUCGAAUGACAUGUCUGCAUGCGAAUCCACCGAUAUGCGCGCCAAGACUAUGUCCCGAUAAACUAACUAUGGAUGGAUCCCCGAGUUUCAUUAUAACCCUUCCAAUUAACUCGCCCAAUGGCUUAAGCAUAAAUCCAGCCAGGCAAGCGUAAUCAUUUCCGCUAAUUUUGCCCCAGUAAACAAUAAUCACAAUGCAAUCGGUACGACAAUUUAAACUCUCUGCUGAGUACGUUAGCCAAUCUGUAAGAUUUGUGAAAUGGAUCAAAGGCACAUCAUUGGGAUCGAUUGUACAAUCUGUUGCCCAUCCUCCAAUUAAAAAUCGAAUGCACCGUGCUGACCUCCGUACAUAUUUAUGUGGAUUCUUUAACAUUUUGCUUGCAACCACCACACGG